AGGUGUGAAGUGGUUGGUCAUGGUAUGAAAUUGAUUAAUUCAUUUGGAUUCAUAGCCAUAGAUGUAGACUCCCUGAGAGUGGUAAUGGAUGUGUACGAUGAUACUCUACCCUAUUGGAGGAUUCAUGAGUUAUACUUCCCAGGAGGAACGAGAAUCAGUUAUUCCUAAAGUUAAACAUGUAACCCCUGGAUACCUAUCUUCUGAAGAGUGUUGGUCUUAUUCUACACUUUUAUGAGUCAUCAAGGAAGUUAUUCUACUAAUGGAAG
rnacentral:lncRNA from 1 species